rnacentral:lncRNA from 1 species
CACUUACUUGCCUAUUUGCUCUUGGUCCAUUCCCUGAUCUUCCCUUGCUCUGCUCUGACUCUAGGGCAACUACAUCUUCUGGCAUCCCUUGGCAAGUGGCUUCCAGACAGAUUUGGCCAGUGAGAGGCCCUGAAAGAAUUGGAGGGUGGGAGGAGGGAACAAGCAGGGCAUUAUGCUCUCUCACUUCUUCCAGGCAACAUGUCCAUUAAUGGCUAUGUCUCCAGCUCUCUCCAAACAAUCUAGAAGGUGGGAAAGGACUUCUGGACGGAGCCCUGCCAACACCUUUAUUUCAGCCCAAACUGAAUUGAGACUUCUGACCUCCAAAACUCUGGAUUCCAGUGGCCAUUUUCCAGCUUUCUGAGUACCAAGAGGCAGUGAUACCAUUUAUGGUGGCGGUGAGGACAGCUUCUGGAUUACAGUUUCCAGAUUCCUGG